GUGGGGAAUAUUGGACAAUGGGCGAAAGCCUGAUCCAGCCAUGCCGCGUGUGUGAAGAAGGUCUUCGGAUUGUAAAGCACUUUAAGUUGGGAGGAAGGGCAGUAAGUUAAUACCUUGCUGUUUUGACGUUACCGACAGAAUAAGCACCGGCUAACUUCGUGCCAGCAGCCGCGGUAAUACGAAGGGUGCAAGCGUUAAUCGGAAUUACUGGGCGUAAAGCGCGCGUAGGUGGGUUUGUAAGUUGGAGGUGAAAUCCCCGGGCUCAACCGGGGAACUGCCUACAAAACUGCAUGACUAGAGUACGGUAGAGGGUAGUGGAAUUUCCUGUGUAGCGGUGAAAUGCGUAGAUAUAGGAAGGAACACCAGUGGCGAAGGCGACUACCUGGACUGAUACUGACACUGAGGUGCGAAAGCGUGGGGAGCAAACAGGAUUAGAUACCCUAGUAGUCC
rnacentral:rRNA from 1 species